GGGGAGGUGCCGGAGUGGCCGAACGGGAUCGCCUGCUAAGUGAUUGUCGGGUUUAACCUCGACCGAGAGUUCGAAUCUCUCCCUCCCCG
rnacentral:tRNA from 1 species